rnacentral:rRNA from 1 species
UACGUAGGGUGCGAGCGUUAAUCGGAAUUACUGGGCGUAAAGCGUGCGCAGGCGGUCUGUUAAGACCGAUGUGAAAUCCCCGGGCUUAACCUGGGAACUGCAUUGGUAACUGGCAGGCUUUGAGUGUGGCAGAGGGAGGUAGAAUUCCACGUGUAGCAGUGAAAUGCGUAGAUGUGGAGGAAUACCGAUGGCGAAGGCAGCCUCCUGGGCCAACACUGACGCUCAUGCACGAAAGCGUGGGGAGCAAACGGG